rnacentral:rRNA from 1 species
GAUGAACGCUGGCGGCGUGCCUAAUACAUGCAAGUCGAGCGAAGCGGGGACGGGUGAGUAACACGUGGAUAACCUCCUAUAAGACUGGGAUAACUUCGGGGAAACGGAGCUAAACCGGAUAAUUAUAGAUGGAUCCGCGCUGCAUUAGCUAGUUGGUAAGGUAAAGGCUGCCCAAGGCAACGAUGCAUAGCCGACCUGAGGGAGUGAUCGGCCACACUGGAACUGAGACACGGUCCAGACUCCUACGGUAGGCGGCAGUAGGGAAUCUUCCGCAAUGGGCGAAAGCCUGACGGAGCAACGCCGCGUGAGUGAUGAAGGUCUUCGGAUCGUAAAACUCUUUUAGUAGGGAAGCGGUACCUAAUCAGAAAGCCACGGCUAACUACGUGCCAGCAGCCGCGGUAAUUC